rnacentral:rRNA from 1 species
GCAAACAGCCAUACCACCCUGAAGGCCCCUGAUCUUGUCUGAUAUUGGAAGCUAAGCAGGGUCGGGCUUGGUUAGUACUUGGAUGGGAGACGCAGCAGAUACAUAGCCACACCUGACUGAUGCCUGCC